rnacentral:rRNA from 1 species
AUCUAUGGCCAUGCCACUCUGAACAAGCCUGAUCUCAUCUGGUCUCAGAAGCUAAGCAGAGUCGGGCCUGAUUAGUACUUAGAUGAGAGACCACCUAAGAAGACCAGGUGCUGUAGGCG